rnacentral:rRNA from 1 species
GUGGGGAAUAUUGGACAAUGGGCGCAAGCCUGAUCCAGCCAUGCCGCGUGUGUGAAGAAGGCCUUCGGGUUGUAAAGCACUUUUGUCCGGGAAGAAAUCUUCCAGGUUAAUACCCUGGGAGGCUGACGGUACCGGAAGAAUAAGCACCGGCUAACUUCGUGCCAGCAGCCGCGGUAAUACGAAGGGUGCAAGCGUUACUCGGAAUUACUGGGCGUAAAGCGUGCGUAGGUGGUUCGUUAAGUCUGCCGUGAAAGCCCCGGGCUCAACCUGGGAAGGGCGGUGGAUACUGGCGGGCUAGAGUGCGGUAGAGGAGAGUGGAAUUCCCGGUGUAGCAGUGAAAUGCGUAGAGAUCGGGAGGAACAUCAGUUGCGAAGGCGGCUCUCUGGACCAGCACUGACACUGAGGCACGAAAGCGUGGGGAGCAAACAGGAUUAGAAACCCAAGUAGUCC